UCACAUUCUUGUCCUCUGUAC
ensembl:piRNA 21ur-3902 ncRNA